rnacentral:snoRNA from 15 species
GUGCAAGCUUUCCAGCAUGUCGGUGUCCUCUAUGACCCCAGACAUUCCUAAAGACUUGCUAGAGUAAUCCUGAGAUGGUUUGAGGCCUCACUCUGCUCUGACUUCGGAGUAAGGUUAUAGAAAUCUCAGAUAUUG